rnacentral:rRNA from 1 species
GCAGUCGACGGACUUAAUCGAUUCUUUUAGAUUCGAAGCGGUUAGUGGCUGACUGGUGAGUAACACGUAAGCAACCUGCCUGUUAGAGGGGAAUAACAGUGAGAAAUCACUGCUAAAACCGCAUAUGCCGUGAACAUCGCAUGAUGAAAACGGGAAAAGAGCAAUCUGCUAAUAGAUGGGCUUGCGUCUGAUUAGCUAGUUGGUGUGGUAAAGGCAUACCAAGGCAACGAUCAGUAGCCGGACUGAGAGGUUGAACGGCCACAUUGGGACUGAGAUACGGCCCAGACUCCUACGGGAGGCAGCAGUCGGGAAUAUUGCGCAAUGGAGGAAACUCUGACGCAGUGACGCCGCGUAUGGGAAGAAGGUUUUCGGAUUGUAAACCAUUUUAGACAAGGAAGAAACAAGACAGUACUUGUAGAAUAAGCUCCGGCUAACUACGUGCCAGCAGCCGCGGUAAUACGUAGGGAGCAAGCGUUAUCCGGAUUUAUUGGGUGUAAAGGGCGCGUAGACGGGAAGGUAAGUUAGUUGUGAAAUCCCUCGGCUCAACUGAGGAACUGCGACUAAAACUGCUUUUCUUGAGUGCUGGAGAGGAAAGUGGAAUUCCUAGUGUAGCGGUGAAAUGCGUAGAUAUUAGGAGGAACACCAGUGGCGAAGGCGACUUUCUGGACAGUAACUGACGUUGAGGCACGAA